rnacentral:rRNA from 1 species
UACAGAGGUCCCGAGCGUUGUUCGGAUUCACUGGGCGUAAAGGGUUCGUAGGUGGCUUGAAAAGUUUGAUGUGAAAGCUCAGGGCUUAACCCUGAAAUGGCAUUGAAUACUGUCGAGCUGGAGGUUUGGAGGGGGGACUGGAAUUCUUGGUGUAGCAGUGAAAUGCGUAGAUAUCAAGAGGAACACCAGUGGCGAAGGCGAGUCCCUGGACAACACCUGACACUGAGGCACGAAAGCUAGGGGAGCAAACAGG